rnacentral:rRNA from 1 species
UACGUAGGAUCCAAGCGUUGUCCGGAUUUAUUGGGCGUAAAGGGUGCGUAGGCGGCUUGGUUAGUCAGGAGUGAAAUCUCGGCGCUCAACUCCGAAACGUCUUUUGAUACUGCCAGUCUUGAAUAAGCGAGAGAUUCGUGGAAUUCCGAGUGUAGCAGUGAAAUGCGUAGAUAUUCGGAAGAACACCAGUGGCGAAGGCAGCGAAUUGGCGCUUUAUUGACGCUCAGGCACGAAAGCAUGGGGAUCAAACAGG